rnacentral:sRNA from 1 species
UCAACAGCCAUAGAGAAUGAUGUAUGCUGUUUAUCUAAGGAACAGGUGUAGCACGAGCAGCAGCUGUGUAAGCUUCUUCACACUACUCUGCUAGUGUUCCUCAGCCCGGAACUGGAGGGACCACCUCUAGGAGUGAAAAAUGAAGCUCUGUCUCCAUAGCCCAUUCUGUCUCGAGUCACA